UGUGGCUCAGUGGUAGAGCACCUGCCUAGAAUUCCCUAGUGAGGGAAUGGGGGGGGGGUGACUCAGCAGUAGAGCACUUACCUAACAUACAGGAAGGCCUGGGUUCUAUCCCCAGCA
rnacentral:tRNA from 1 species